UACGUAGGGGGCGAGCGUUGUCCGGAUUUAUUGGGCGUAAAGAGCGUGUAGGCGGCCCGAUAAGUCCGCCGUGAAAGUCCAGGGCUCAACCCUGGAAUGCCGGUGGAAACUGUCGGGCUCGAGUCCGGAAGAGGCGAGUGGAAUUCCUGGUGUAGCGGUGAAAUGCGCAGAUAUCGUGAGGAACACCAGAGGCGAAGGCGGCUACCUGGACAAUUGCUGACGCUCAGGCACGAAGGCCAGGGGAGCAAACGGG
rnacentral:rRNA from 1 species